AGAGAGAGAGAGAGAGAGGUGACAGCAGAAAAAAGGCCAAACCUUUGAUUGGAUUCUUUACCCACUUUCAUCGACAUCAUCUUGUUUCAAUCAACGAAAUGUAUUCAUUUCAGCCUUUAAUCGGGCCCUUUUUGUUUUGUUUUGUCAAUCAUCAAACAUCAUGAUGGCCCAUCAUUUGUGAUUUGUUUCUACGAUUCGAUUUCACAUUGUGUCCAUCCAAAUGAUAAUAAAAUCCUGGAAUAAAAAUUAAGAAGCCAUUUUUAUAACAAUCAAAAAGCAAAACAAAACAAAACGAAAAUUGGCCCAUAAAAAAUUUGAAAUAGAACCAUGAGAGAAAGCAACAAAAAAAAACAAAUGGGCAAAAUGUUUCGAAUGUUUGAUCUUUACUUUUUCUAUAAAAAAAGUGCACUGUGGUUGUCGUACAUUGUUAUCGAUCGUAAUUAAUGAAAAAAAAACCCAUUGCUAUUCAUUUGGAAAAAUGACUGAUUGUCAUGGUAAAAUUUCAAAGCUUAAAAAAAUAGCUUGCACUGGCCUUGUGACCAUGACGAUCGAAAUUUUUU